rnacentral:lncRNA from 1 species
AGAACUCCCGAGGCAGGGUGUGUGCCGCGCGCGGGAAACGCCGUUCUCCGCUCCAGGCGUCGGCGGGCGGUGGCGAGAGCAGAUUUUAUAGGUUCAGAAAGUGUGUCUCAGAGGAGUUAGAGAAGACCGAUUAAUAGAUGACAGUGCUAAAGCCUGGAUCUCCUGAAUCCUGGAUGAAAGUGUCCUAAGUUAGAUUCCUGGGAAGAAAAUUCUGAGACACAUUCUGCAGGAUGAUUAUUAGGGCUCAUCCUUGGUUUCAACACCCAUAGAAGGAAGGGGGAAGAAGAAAUCGAACAGAGAGACAGAAGUCGAGAUGCAUUUCAGGCCAGGACUCUUGGCUGAACCCACAGGAGCUCUGGAGCUAGAAUGGCCCUUCAGAGUUGUCCUGAGUUGGUCUGAGAUGGCCAGUUCUUUAUAUUCCUGCAUGGGAUAGUCACUGGAUGUCCACCCCAGGAAGGGGUGUGGCCAAGACAGUCCCUAAAAUGCCCGCCAGCACUCCCUACACCUGGAGCGACAAGACCAACAUCACAGGGGGAAUGCACUGGGUGAUGGAUCACAGCGUUCAUCCCAGAAGAUGAGGAUACAGAAUUGGCUGACAACUACGUUCUAAAUGUCAGUGUUCUCCAAAAUUCAUAUGUUGAAACUUAAUUCCCAAUGUGAUGGCAUUAGGAAGUGGGGCCUUUGGGGGAGGGACUAUAGGUCAUGAGGGUGUAACCCUCAUCAAUGGGAUUAGUGUCCAGAGAGCUGCCUUGCCCUUCCACCAUGUGAGGACAUAGUGAGAAGGUGCCAUCUAUGAACUAGGAAGUGGGCGCUUACCACCAGACACCCACUCUUCUGGCAACUUGAUCUUGAAUUUCCCAGCCUCCAGAACUCUGAGAAAUCAAUUUCUGUUAAUUAUAAGCUACCCAGUCGAUAGCAUUUUGUUAAAGCUGCUGGAACUAAACUAAGACACUGACGCUUUCUGCGACAAAAAGAUAGAGUGAGUCUCUAUAGCAUACCAUGUAACAGAUGUUUUUGGAAAAAUAACCUCAUUUCAUAUGUUUCCUCAAGAUAAAAAGAAUGUCAUAACAACAAAUGAGAAAAUAGUUGCUUUAGAAAUAUUGCACCCUAUGGAGAGAGUAUUUUGGAUUUUGGUUUUUUGUUUUGUUUUUUAACUUUUGUUUUAGGUUUGGGGGUACAUAUGCAGGUUUGUUAUAUAGGUAAACUCAUGUCACAGGGGUUUGUUGUACAGAUAAUUUCCUCACCCAGGUACUAAGCCUAGUACCCAAUAGUUGCUUUUUCUCCUCCUCUCUCUCCUCCCACCCUCCACCCUCAAAUAGGCCCCAGUGUAUGUUGUUCUCUUCAUUAUGUUCAUGAAGUUGAGAGAGUGUUUUGAAAAAGAAUGUUGGAAAGCAUUUCCACUGUUAGAUGAUUUUAAGUCAAAAAGUUAUACAACAGUGUGACCUAUUUGCACACAAGCAUGGACACAGAAUUGUGUCAUAUGUUUAAAACUUUUCUAGAUCCUUUUGUGGUUCAUAAGCUUGAUGAUUGAGUUUUCGCGUCCACAUGUGAGAUGUGCCUCCCUUGAGCCUUGUCAUUGGCACAUUACCUGCCUGAUGUGAACAAUAAAAAUAAAAAAUAAAAAUUUGCUAAGCAGA